rnacentral:lncRNA from 1 species
NNNNNNNNNNNNNNNNNNNNNNNNNNNNNAAAAAAAAAAAAAAAAAAGAAAGAAAGAGAGAGAGAGACAGAGAGAGGGAGAGAAGGAGAAAGAGAGAAAAGGAAAGGAAAGUAGAAAAAAAAAGUUCUAAUUUAAUGUUUGUGCACCAAUGUCAGGAUCUUCUUGAGAGACACUCAUGAAAUAUCUACUCAACCAUGUAUUUAUAUUUAUCUUUCCAAGCAGGUUAGAAACUUCCUGGUAUUCAUCUAUUUUCUAUACUAAUGAACUCCCUUUAACAUUAGCUGCACCAUCCACAUUUAAUAUCAAAAGUCAUUAAAUCCUAGCCUGGUAUCCCAGCUAAGUAAGGAAAACUACAAAUUCAAAAGCUAUGUAAACAGUUAAAACAUUCUAGACAUGGGCUGGUGAGAUGGCUCACGGGUAAGAGCACUGACUGCUCUCCUGGAGGUCCUGAGUUCAAAUUCCACCAACCACAUGGUGGCUCACAACCAUCCAUAAUGAAAUAUGAUGCCCUCUUCUGCUGAGUCUAAAGUCAGUUACAGUGUACUUAUGUAUAAUAAUAAAUCUAUGGGCCAGAGCAAGCAGGGACUAAGCAAGCAGGGCUGACCUGAGCGAGCAGGGCCAACAGGAGCAAGCAGAGGUCCCUAAAAAAAUUCAAUUCCCAACAACCACAUGAUGGCUCACAACCAUCUGUACAUUACAGUGUACUUGUAUGCAUAAAUAAAUAAAUAAACCUUUUAAAAGUAACAAUUUGUUUUUCUCAUUAACUAGUAAAUAUGUAUUUAAGUAUUUUUAAAUUACAUUAUUUGUGUGUGUGUAAAUGUGUGUGGCACACAUGCUACAGCAGCUGUGAAAGUUUAAAGGCAACCUGUAAGAGUUGUUUUUCCUUCGACUCUGAGUCCUGGGACGGAACUUGAAUCAUGAAGCUUGGUGGCCAAAGCUUUUACUCAAAGAGCCAUCUCAGACUAAGCCUAUGCUUUCAGUAACAGCUUUACUGAGCUGACCUCUAUCACACAAUCUACCCAUGGUAGUGUACAAUUCACUGGUUCUUAGUACAGUCUAGAAAACAUGCAACUGUCACCACAACUUUAACACAUUUACUUAUCUCAAAAAGAAAUAAUAAGCAUGCUCUUGUCACUUCAUACCCCAGCACACGUGGAAGCCCUAAGAAAUCACAAGUCUUGCUACCCCUAUAAAAUUGUCUGUUCUGGAUACGAUUUAGAAACAGCAUCACAUAAAUACAGACUUUUAUAUCUGGAUUUUUAAACCCUAC